GAAAUAGUAAUGGCGCCUUAACUUUGUUUUCAGCUGAAAUUGGUUCUCUACCCUAAGUUACCAUCCCGCCUCUCUCCUAUGCUAGGUGUCUCUCUCGAUCUCUCACUCUCUUUCUCACAUGGCCGAAAAAUGAAGAAGGCUUGGAUGAAUGGAAGGGUACGUACAGAGGCUUCUCUAGGAGACAGGCUUCGAACAGAGAUGAUGCGACAACACCAUUGUUUGACGAUGUGCGACAGGGUGAUGGAACUUGAGGCUUGGGGCGUGCAACAGGGAGGUUUGGUCAUGGAUUCUACAGGGUGGCUCAGUUGUGGGUGUGAUGGUGCCUGCGGGGGCGGUUCGUGCGACAGGUUCGACUUCGGCAAGGGGAUUUUACUUUAAUUUCCAAAAGGCAUGUGAAGCGUUAAGAAAUUGAAGAUAAGGUUAUCUGGAUUACUAGUGCCAAUCGUGGAAUUGAUGCUAUAUUACAAGAUGACCAUAUGUGUGGCCAUAUAUUUUUUCAUAGAGUAUGAGUUCAAAAAGAAUUUCAAGGGCUUUAUGUGGAUCUCCUUGAUUUAAGAUGUCAGCAGAUGUGGCUAGAGCUCACGGUGGAGACGCUGGCGGUGAUCCUCCACUGGAUCCUACUAGGAUCCCGACUACAUGCGAGUCAGGAAUCCCAACUAAGAAAAAGGGUCGUGGCGCAGCUAUUGGAAAAGAUCUAGAGGAGAGGCGGCGUAAAAAUGGAAAACCACUGGAAGUAACGUUUUGCCCACGAAUGUACAAGGUUGUUGGGGGCGAGCACGCUGGUUUUGUCCGCCUUGUGGGAACCCAAAUUAAAACAAAAGUUCCCGGACAUUACGGUUCAUGGGAAUUAGUGCCUAAACAAUACAAGGAUCAGGUCCUUGGCAUAAUUCAGUACUAUUAUCAAAUAGCGGGCCGCGAGGAUUUCUUAAAGUGUAUAGAUGGUAUCGAUCGAGAGAUGAAAGACCGAUACCAUAAUAGGAAAACACUAAGACACGAACACUUUGAGAAACACUACAAUGGACCGGAGGAUUGGGAUAAGGUUCUAAACAACCCAACCAAUGAUAUUAACAAGGAGGAGUGGAAGCAGAUUUGUCAGUUAUUUACAAGUCCAUAAUUUAUUGCCCGCUCCAUAAAGAAUAAGGAAAAUCGGAAGAAACAAAAGUAUUCUACAACGCAGGGUACAAAAUCAAUGGCAGCCAUUCGUUUUGAAAAAACGAACCCGGACCUCAUUGAGUCAUGGAAGGAUUAUCAUUGGAAGAAAGCAACAAAUGAUUUCGUGAACGAUGAUGCUCGCUAAGAUUAUGAAAAACUGAAGGCUGAUUUUGAGUUAUAAACUCAGCAAACAUCCACUGAUGCUUCUAAUAAUGAUAGUCCGUCAUCAGUUGAUCAGGUGGAGGUGCUACAAAAAGUAUUAGGCCAAAGGCAUGGACAUGUGCGAGGAGUGGGCCGCAAAUUGAAGGGGUCGAGGUCGAGGUCGAGGUCGGGGUUGGGGUCAUCAUCUACCCAACACUCACACUUCAGUGAGUCUCAAGUUCCUCCUCAUCAUUCAAGAGAAUAUAUAGAAAAAUUGGAGAAUAAUCUACAGAAAUUGACUGAUCAAGUUAAUUUCUUAACUCAAUUUUUUGUACCUUCAUUUCGUCCACCAAACGUUCAGAUGCCGCCUAUGCCUGAUAGUGACAAUAUUUCUAGGGCUUCGUCUUCUCAACCUCCAGCUCCAACUCAUCCUUCUAUGUACGGGGCAGCGCCGUCUCAACAUAUGGUACCUCCAUAUAUGUACGGAGCAACACCUUAUCCGUGGCCGAUUCCACCGUCCUCCCAGCCGUCGUAUCCCUACAUGUAUGGAGUUGGAUCGUACACAUUACCUCCCCAAUAUCCUUGGCCGAUGCUGCCACUGCAGCAAUCACAACCACAGCCACCGCAACAACCACAACAAGAAGACAAUAGGGAGGAGGACGAGGCAGCUAAUUUAGGAGACUAGGUUUAUUUUAUUAUUAAUUAUUGUUAAAUUUUAUGAACAAUAUGAAUAUUUACUAUGUUAAUGUAUUAUGAAUAUGUAUAAUUGUUAUUUUAAUAAACUAAUUUA